GCCGCGGUGAGGUAGUCUGGUUAGCCUACCGGCCUGUGGAGCCGGACGCUCGGGUUCAAAUCCCGACCGCGGCC
rnacentral:tRNA from 1 species